rnacentral:rRNA from 1 species
AGCCUAAAAAAGCUGUUUUGACCGAUAGUGAACAAGUACCGUGAGGGAAAGGUGAAAUAGAACCCCAACUGGGGAUUGAAAUAGAAACUGAAACCUGACAAUUACAAACAGUCGAAGUCUGGGGUGUCCCCCCCUUUUAUUUAUGAAAGGGGGAGACACCUGAUAACGGCGUACCUUUUGCAUAAUGGGUCAGCGAGAAAGUCUAUGUGGCUUGCUUAAGCCGUUAGGUGGAGGCCUAGUAAACGCGAGUCUGAAAAGGGCGUA